UACGUAGGGGGCGAGCGUUGUCCGGAAUUACUGGGCGUAAAGGGCGCGCAGGCUGUUAUGCGAGUCUGCUGUGAAAUGUACCGGCUCAACCGGUGCCUUGCGGCGGAUACUGCAUAGCUGGAGUGCUGUAGAGGCAAGUGGAAUUCCCAGUGUAGCGGUGAAAUGCGUAGAUAUUGGGAAGAACACCGGUGGCGAAGGCGACUUGCUGGGCAGCAACUGACGCUGAGGCGCGAAAGCCAGGGGAGCAAACGGGGAUUA
rnacentral:rRNA from 1 species